GGGAUAGUGAUGCUGUUCCCUUCCCUUAAGGAUCCAUACUCCAAGAAGGGCUAUGUAAUAGGCAUUAUUAUUGUUUAAACUUUCAUGUCUUGUUGUGACCCAAAACUGUGUGGAUGACAUUGAUAUUUGAAUUCCGUGAGAUUUCUCAUGAGCCUGGUAUUACAACACAUUUCUUUUUUUCAUUUCAGGAACACUUCUAUGAUGCUGCAAGCAGCACAGGAUACAUUUCUUGGCGUCUGAAAACAGUCCAGAGAAAGAUUCGUCAAGGAUCUGCACAGCCACCAAAUGGCCCAAUUGACUUUUCUCCAGGAGGCCCAAAUUGCCAAAGGACUGUUAAUGUUGAACGGCAGCUUGAUGAUGAUGCUUGCCAAGAGGCCAUGUCUUUGCUUAACCAUACAGCAGACAAUUUCCUGAUUUUCCAGAAGAUGAGAGAGACCUUUCAGCAUCGUCAGAAGCUUGUUAAUGACCCAGGCAGAAGUGUUGAUAUACUCUCCAGCUUCCCAAGAUUCCUGGAUACAAAAGGAUUGUCAUGCUGCAGUUUGGAGGAGCAUCUCCGCAACCAGC
ensembl:lncRNA